CAUCACCAUAUUGUUUCCAUUUUUACCAGCUAUGGUGAAGAGCUUUGGGAUCUCAGAUGAAGACACAGGAUACUAUGCAGGUGUUGUAGCAUCCUCACUGUUUAUUGGACGCACUGCAGCUUGGUGAUUGCAGAUUAAAUCUUUUUUUGAUAUGUUGAUCG